GAUGAACGCUGGCGGCGUGCCUAAUACAUGCAAGUCGAGCGAACAGAUAAGGAGCUUGCUCCUUUGACGUUAGCGGCGGACGGGUGAGUAACACGUGGAUAACCUACCUAUAAGACUGGGAUAACUUCGGGAAACCGGAGCUAAUACCGGAUAACAUAUUGAACCGCAUGGUUCAAUAGUGAAAGGCGGCUUUGCUGUCACUUAUAGAUGGAUCCGCGCCGUAUUAGCUAGUUGGUAAGGUAACGGCUUACCAAGGCAACGAUACGUAGCCGACCUGAGAGGGUGAUCGGCCACACUGGAACUGAGACACGGUCCAGACUCCUACGGGAGGCAGCAGUAGGGAAUCUUCCGCAAUGGGCGAAAGCCUGACGGAGCAACGCCGCGUGAGUGAUGAAGGUCUUCGGAUCGUAAAACUCUGUUAUCAGGGAAGAACAGAUGUGUAAGUAACUGUGCACAUCUUGACGGUACCUGAUCAGAAAGCCACGGCUAACUACGUG
rnacentral:rRNA from 1 species